rnacentral:rRNA from 2 species
AAAUUGAUUUUAUGCUUGCAUAAAUGAUUUUUGGAUUCGGAGCGAGUGGCGAACUGGUGAGUAACACGUGGGUAACCUGCCCCGAAGCGGGGGAUAACAUUUGGAAACAAGUGCUAAUACCGCAUAAUUAGUUGGAACCGCAUGGUUCCAACUUGAAAGAUGGCUCUGCUAUCACUUUGGGAUGGACCCGCGCCGUAUUAGUUAGUUGGUGAGAUAAAAGCCCACCAAGACGAUGAUACGUAGCCGACCUGAGAGGGUAAUCGGCCACAUUGGGACUGAGACACGGCCCAGACUCCUACGGGAGGCAGCAGUAGGGAAUCUUCCACAAUGGACGAAAGUCUGAUGGAGCAACGCCGCGUGAGUGAUGAAGGUUUUCGGAUCGUAAAACUCUGUUGUUAAAGAAGAACAAGUGUUAGAGUAACUGUUAACACUUUGACGGUAUUUAACCAGAAAGCCACGGCUAACUACGUGCCAGCAGCCGCGGUAAUACGUAGGUGGCAAGCGUUGUCCGGAUUUAUUGGGCGUAAAGCGAGCGCAGGCGGUUUUGUAAGUCUGCUGUGAAAGCCCUCAGCUCAACUGAGGAAGUGCAGUGGAAACUACAAAACUUGAGUACAGAAGAGGAAAGUGGAACUCCAUGUGUAGCGGUGAAAUGCGUAGAUAUAUGGAAGAACACCAGUGGCGAAGGCGGCUUUCUGGUCUGUUACUGACGCUGAGGCUCGAAAGCAUGGGUAGCGAACAGGAUUAGAUACCCUGGUAGUCCAUGCCGUAAACGAUGAAUACUAGGUGUUGGAGGGUUUCCGCCCUUCAGUGCCGCAGCUAACGCAUUAAGUAUUCCGCCUGGGGAGUACGACCGCAAGGUUGAAACUCAAAGGAAUUGACGGGGGCCCGCACAAGUGGUGGAGCAUGUGGUUUAAUUCGAUGCUACGCGAAGAACCUUACCAGCUCUUGACAUCUUCUGCCAACCCAAGAGAUUGGGCGUUCCCUUCGGGGACAGAAUGACAGGUGGUGCAUGGUUGUCGUCAGCUCGUGUCGUGAGAUGUUGGGUUAAGUCCCGCAACGAGCGCAACCCUUAUUAUUAGUUGCCAGCAUUUAGUUGGGCACUCUAGUGAGACUGCCGGUGAUAAACCGGAGGAAGGUGGGGACGACGUCAAAUCAUCAUGCCCCUUAUGAGCUGGGCUACACACGUGCUACAAUGGAUGGUACAACGAGUCGCGAAACCGCGAGGUCAAGCUAAUCUCUUAAAGCCAUUCUCAGUUCGGAUUGCAGGCUGCAACUCGCCUGCAUGAAGUGGAAUC